rnacentral:rRNA from 1 species
GAUGAACGCGGGCGGCGUGCCUAACACAUGCAAGUCGAGCGAGGGUUUGCUCAGUAUUGAGUAUUCUAAGAUUAGAAUGUUCAAUUCUGAGCAAAACCAAGCGGCGGACGGGUGAGUAACGCGUGGGUAACCUGCCCUAUACACAUGGAUAACAUACUGAAAAGUUUACUAAUACAUGAUAAUAUAUAUAUGCGGCAUCGCAGAUAUAUCAAAGUGUUAGCGGUAUAGGAUGGACCCGCGUCUGAUUAGCUAGUUGGUGAGAUAACUGCCCACCAAGGCGACGAUCAGUAGCCGACCUGAGAGGGUGAUCGGCCACAUUGGAACUGAGACACGGUCCAAACUCCUACGGGAGGCAGCAGUGGGGAAUAUUGCACAAUGGGCGAAAGCCUGAUGCAGCAACGCCGCGUGAACGAUGAAGGUCUUCGGAUCGUAAAGUUCUGUUGCAGGGGAAGAUAAUGACGGUACCCUGUGAGGAAGCCCCGGCUAACUACGUGCCAGCAGCCGCGGUAAUACGUAGGGGGCUAGCGUUAUCCGGAUUUACUGGGCGUAAAGGGUGCGUAGGUGGUCCUUCAAGUCGGUGGUUAAAGGCUACGGCUCAACCGUAGUAAGCCGCCGAAACUGGAGGACUUGAGUGCGGGAGAGGAAAGUGGAAUUCCCAGUGUAGCGGUGAAAUGCGUAGAUAUUGGGAGGAACACCAGUAGCGAAGGCGGCUUUCUGGACUGCAACUGACACUGAGGCACGAAAGCGUGGGUAGCAAACAGG